AUGCAAACGAAAGAACUUGGUACAUGUCCCGUGAGGCAGAUUGGAGGAUGCUCUUUCUUUUACAUGAGAAUCAGCAUUGUCUACAUUGUAAUUGUGGUCAGCAGCAAUGCUAACGUAGCAUGCACUUUAGGAGUUAACUAAAAGAACUAUUUGAACUAUUUAUUGUAUCUUAUCAAAUGAGUAACAGGAAAUUAAGGGCUUACUAGCAACUUAUUACUUAUCAAAACUAGAUCUGUCAUAAAUGGACACCACAAUUUCACUGAUAAAAAACAACUAUACCGCGUAUGACUUGCCCCUUUAAUUCUUAUUAAGAAAUUGUUCCUAUAUACACUACCCCAAAUUACACUUUUUCCGGCAUUUAAUAAAUGCUGGUAUAGGUCAAAAAAACGCCGGUAAAACUAUUCCCGGCAUUUGUUGGCGAAAUUAGAUAAUGCCAUCUACAAAAGUGUCGGUAAUACAAAAACGGCAUUUGUAUAAAUGCCGGAAAUAAAACCGGCGUUUUUCUUACUUUUCCCGGCAUUUAACAAAUGCCAGUAAUAAAAUAGAUGAAUAUACAACUAUUAGCGGCAGUUUGUAGAACUGCCGGAAAAGAAUCUAUACCCGGCAUUAGUCAAAUGCCACAAAUGUUAUAACCCUUUACCGGCAUUUGUAAAAAGCCGUUUAUAUAUUUUUUUGUUUAAUUCUUUCGCCGGCAUUUUCAACAAAUCGGUAAAAAUUUAAAAUUUAAUCAUGAUCCGUCCAUUUUCAGAUAAACCUGAGCCCAUUUUUGUCACAAUCCACUAUUUUCCGUACAUCAAACUGUAUAGUUGACAAAAACAAUUUGAAGUUCAAUUGUACCAAAAUGCAAGUUACAUAUAAUAAAACUAAAUCUUCUAGACACAUGUAUCGUGUCUACCGAGUCAUUACAUAACAUAAUCAUAAAACAUGCAAGAGUGCAAGGCAUCGAAUGCAAUGUGGAGAUCAAAAACCAAAACGACAAAAUACAGGUUCUAAUUCCUUAUCUCCAAAAACAAUAGAUCAAACUAAUCGCAACAAAUAAAAUGACUUUUGGUUGCAAAUCUUCCAUACAAAAAGACCCAAAACGGUUGGCAUAAUAAAUAAGAUUUCCCAUCAUUCCUAUUGUGCAUGCUCGCCUAUGAAUCUAACCUGAGUUGUUGUCGGCUUCUUUACAAUUCUAAGAAAACACAAAGCUGGCAUUAUCACCGCCUGAAUAAUACCAAAAUGCACCUUUGAUCAGCGUAACACAUACUAAAGAAUUUAUGUACCUAGAGAAAUUAACCAAGAAAAAGUCGCAACAAACCAAAGACAACCAACAUCAGGAGAAGUUGGUGAUGAUGUACAAUCUUUACGAAGGUUUAAAUGCAUCACUGUCGUUUUUAUCUUAGCUUUCACCUUUUGUGAUUACAACUUGGUUAUCGUUAAGAAUAUUAAGAUUCUUGAUUCAACAAAAACGAUGUUAUCCAAGGUUUUCAUAAAGCAUCUCUUGCCACUGCAUCCCAAGGUUUUCAAAAUUUUCUAGACAUAAUGUGAAAUUUCUCUUUGUUUCAAGACUGCCUUAGCCUUAACAACGUACGAACAUAGUAGUCUGUAGAAAAUGGACGCAAAUUUCCUGACCCCAACUAAUUGAGUCUAGGCUUCUUAAGUUCAGUUGAAUUGAGUUUUAUCAGAACGAUAAGACUUGGUACUUUUGAACUUCAAUUUUCAUAUAAAAUUACUUCUUUGACUUUCUGGUUGAAUUUGUGUGAGGGUAAAUAACCUCAAUCAAAUCAGCUUAAAUUAGUAGUCAAUCUAGGCAAUUCCUCGAACCUAGAUCAUGCCAUAACAUUGCUUGAAGAGACCUACUCCGCGGAUUCAGGGAGGCAACCAGAAUCAAAAAAUUCACAAAACCAAAAAGAGUAAAACACGAAUGAUCUAGUUUCUUUUUUCUUUUUUUGCCAGCAUAAGAUAUUCCACAUGUUACUGGACAACUUCAGGGAUAAUCCACUCUAGAUUGUUCCUAUUAAGGAUCACUAAGACAACGUAUCAAUUACGCAAUGUAUUCACUCGUAUAAGUAAAAACACGCAGUUCUAAAUAGAAUCAGAGGUUUAUGCAUACCACAAGUACACUGAGAAGAGAACCAAUUAAAGCCAUCACAAGACCUGCAAUGAAAAGAAUGAAGUUAAAUUCAAGAAGUUGGUCAUGUUACGCAAUAAAAGAAGAGUACGUUCCAAUUUGUUGAACAAUUACUCUUCCAUACCUUUAUAAACAUCAUGCAACUAAACUAGUCCAUCAAGGUCACAAAUUGUUACAACAGUGAUUUGACUCAACUCCUUAUAUCAACUACAACACUAAGAAGCAAGGCACUUCAUCAGUUCAUCUAUGUGGCUAAUUGAGUGUAGCUCUGUGGACUGUGGCUAUUGUAGACACCGAUUUGUAUCAUAGCACUUAACUUACUGUUUUCAUUUUUAACACGAUCCCCACUAGAGACUGGAGAGCAUCACUUCUUGCCUUUGGGAGCUCACUAUCCCCACAACCAAUGAACCACAAUGUCUUACAUUGCUAAACUUAAAUAUUAUCCAAAUGAACUAUGCUUCCAGAGAUUGGAAGACAAUUUUCUUUUUCCGGAAAAACGAAAAAUGAUGACAUGUCUGUUGCAGCAGAGUACACUCACAGGGACAUCAACGUGCCCAAAAAUGACACUUCAAUUUGCUGAUUUAGUUUAGAGAUCUCCACACACUCAAUCGUAUCGGACGUCGUUCUUCACAAAGUACCCAAGACUAAAGCUUCCAUUCCCACAUAGCUCAAUAUACAAACAAGACACAUUAGCACUACAGUCCGAUACUAGUGUAACUGGACCUCCAUUAAUCUCAAGAACCCAAUUGUAUUAUGAGGGAGUCCUUUGGAUCGUACAGUGCUAAGUUCCAGCUGUAACAAAACAAUAGUUUCUAAAAGUUUGUCAAAAACAAUUUGCCAAGGAAGUGGGCUCAAAGUUCCUAUGACGGAUUUAAUCUAUGGUUCCAUCAGAUGGUUGAUGCUUUGUGUGGGGGCACUUUUAUGAUGAAAACCAAGGAUGAGGGGUGGGAUCUCUUUGAGACUUUGAGUGGAAAUUCCCAACACUAUGCCUCAACGUAGAGUGGUGGGAACACACCUAUCCUGUCCAAAUCAGGUGGCCUUUAUGAUGUUGGCGAUUCGAGCUAUCUCUCUGCUAAGGUGACUUGUCUCGUAAGCUUGAUAGUGUCUUAUCUUUAGGGCAAGUUCCUUCGUAUUCUCAACCUCCUGUUGUCAAGGAGGUGUGCCAGUUGUGUUCUAAUCCAAGCAAUUACGUGAGUGAGUACCUCACGUAAUUUGAAGUGACUUUUGUAACCAGCACAAAUAGCAUAGCGCAAAUUCCUAAGUAACCAGCACAAAUUGCAAUUACAGUUACAAUUGCGCAAACACUUGUAGCUAUGUUAAAUGCAUGCACUUCCAAAAAAACACUUCCAAGAGGUAAAAAGACUUUCUCACAGGCCGUUGCUGAGGAUGUAGUGCCAUGCGUAUACGCAUGACCUUUAGGUCUUGUUGAGCCUUUAGAUUGUUCUUUGUUUUCCCCAAAAUAUUGAGUAGUGUCCCAAUUAUAUUUUCCAAGAUUCUUCUCGGUAUGCAUCAGGUCAAUAUUGUGGCGAAUCAAAAUAUCCAAUCAAAUAUACUUGCUAAUCCCAAUCUCAUAUUUCGAAUGUCUUUCGCAAAUUCAGGUUGUUUUUUGUCGAAUGUUUUCCAAGCAGGUGUAUCAGCAGGGUGCCUCCAUUUACCAUCAUUGGUCCGCCCCUCUGCAGGCCAUCUCAUAUGUUUUGAUGUUUCCUCUGACAUGAAAAGCUUUUGAAGCGCUGACUUUAAAGGAAAAUGCCUUGUUUUGUAGGAAUUUGUGUUAGUUUGGCCGUUCCAUCAUUUGAAAAGACAGUAGAUUCUUUAUAUCGUGAUGUUCCACAUUUUUCAAAGUUGCGCAGCCCCUUUUUAUCUUUCCAAAACAACAUACAAUCCUUGGGAUACGCAUCAAUUUUUUUCGUAACUAAAGCCUAAGGCCUCAUUAAACUUCUUUGCUUCAGAAAAUGACUUGGGUAAGGUUUCACGAAUUGGAAACUCUUUUCUCAAUAGCUCAACUGGCAUAUCAUAUGAGGUAUCAGUCCAACCACCAAGCACUUUUAUGUCCAACAAAUGAGUUGUAUAAGAGAGAGUUGUGAAUGUCUUACAAUUGGGGUACAACUCACGUUGUGCAUCUUCAAGCAGCUUAAAAAAUUUCUUAGUCUCCUUAUCGGGCCCUAACCCCAUACUUUCAAGUCCUUCAUCGUCUCUAAUCCCACCAUCUUGCAUUGGAACUCCAAAUGCAUCAUGCACCAUACCAAUCAUAUCAUCUUGAAAAUAAGAGCUUUGAUUUGCAUCCGAUUCAUUUCUACUAGAUGAAGCUAAAGACUCUCCGUGAAUUGUCCAUCUUGUAUAGUUAGUAUUGAAUCCAUUUAUAAUUAAAUGUUCUUUCACACCACUUCU